rnacentral:lncRNA from 1 species
CACCCACCCUAAUUUAUGUUUUGUUUUUGUUUUGUUUUUUGUUUUGUUUUGUCACAGCUAGCGGGGAGCAUGUCCUUGCCAACAGGGUUGGGGAGCAGAUGGAAUGUCAGGAGAUGGACAAGGUGGGUCUCAACCUCCCCUGCUCUGUAAGGUAAACUUUCAAGUUACCGAAUUGGAAGUGCCCACCGAGCUAAGAGCCGGCUGGUGGUUAGAGCAUUUAAGAUGAUGGGAAUUUGGUUUGGACGAGGGGGGAGGCGAGACACCAGUGGGUAAAGUUUUUGGUGCAUAGGCACCUAGUUAAGUUCGUUGGCAAGGACGGUUAUUUAAGUUGAAGGCUGUAGGGCUAUAAGUGUUAAUUUAUUGUUAAUUAUGGUAUGUAUAUAUAUUUAUGUGUUUAUCUAUAUUGGAAUUAGAGGAAAAGAAUGAAGUUCGGAUGUGUCCUACAGUUGUAAGUUUUAAUAAAUGCUGUGACCUGUUUCAUCCAAUAUGCAUUGUCUGUCAUUAUUGGGGGGAUAAGUGGGUAGUCUUUCUUUUAGUCGCACCACAUUCCCCGCUACGUACAUACAUGUAUUUUUAAUACAAAGUCAUGUGUUGUUUAAGACUUUCAGCAGCAUCGCUAGUCACCAAGAAAGAGGGAGAUUUACAUUGAGAUAUACACAUUAGAGAAAUAUGUCUUUGUAUAAAAAGAUUCUACAAAAAUUGUGCGUGGAACGGAGGCGCAGCAUGUAGUCCUGUGGAGCUGCCUUCACUGGCAACAAAAGCAGGAAGCUUUUUGCAACAAAAAACAAACGCUCUCGAUGAGUCAUUCAGGAAAUGUAAACCUCAAUAUAUCCUGUAGAGAAGGAAGGCAAUCUGAAUUAUAUUCCGCACAUAAUAUUAGUAUGUAGAACAGGCCUGAAGAUAAUCCACAGAAUGAUAUAGAGAUUAAUUACUAAAACAUGGUGGACUCUAACAAAGAAGCUGGUUAUUAAAACCCAAGUUGAGAAGCUUAAACUGAGAGGUUGAGUCCUAAAAGUCCUGUAAUGUUCUGUAAUGAGUUUUCCCUUUUCUUUGUCUCUGCUUCAAAUUGACUGUUGGGAAAGGGCUGCUGGACGGAGGCUGAGUGCCAAAUAGACAAGGUGAAUGGCAGCUUCAUUUAUCCAGGGCUGUAAAACACAACUCACACUGACAGACAGAUACAGACUCAGAGCAAUGUUAGUCUACACUCAGCAGCUUCAUGAUCACACAUAGCUCUAGCCGACAGACACAUAAUUCCCUGGGAGAGACACACUCACAGUCUGAGUCCAAAGGCAAACGUUCCAGAAAGAUUUAGCUUCAGACAUUACUUUUGUCCAAGAUGAGCUAUUAUCAUACUUUUAUUGUAAUGCACCAACACAUUCUGCCGUGCUGCUCAUGGUUACAAUUGGUACAAGUAAAAAGACAAAGGUACAAUACAUCUAACAGACAAAAUAAAAUUUGACAAACAAAUAUAAGAGGAGUUGAGGAUCCUAUUUCUAUGGGAACGAACAAUCUAGAUGGAUCUUCAGUUUCACCUCAUUAAAAUAUAACUUGAAUUUAGAGUUGUGUUUCUUGCAUAAUAUGUAACAUAAUCAUAUAUAAAAUGUAACAAGACUGCACAUUAACACAGUGAUCGCUGCAUCUCCCUUGAAACAACCAUCAGCUGAAAACUUUUGGAAGUGGGUUCCAACUCGCCCUGCAGUUCAUUAUAAGCAGCGGCUCCUGUGUGGUCAAUGUCUCCAGCUAUCGGGCAGCAAUGAGGACUGUACAGCACUGUCUCACUGUCGAGAACAUUCAGAGACGAUCUGCACAGCAGCUCUGUAACUACAGCUUCACUCAUCCAUGGCUGUUUAACAAUCCUCGCACUUAGCCAGGGCAUUAUAAUAGGAAACCCACUAAAAGCUGUGCUCAGAGCCCCAUCAUAUGAUAAAAAUGUCCUGUUUGUAGUCUUUUCCUGGUGUCCUUUACAUUGGAUCUUCCCCUGGUCACAAUUUGUGUUCACUGUGUUCUCUCUCACGUCUCUGCUGGUGAAUGUUUAAUGUCUGAGCUUUCAGUCUAGUGUGAGAGUUGAAGCUGGCAGGGACUUCCCCUAAACCUCGCCUCUCCUGAAAGCAAGCAUAGCAGUCACAGAAUAACAGCAUAAAUCUGCUCCGGAGCUUCAUUCCCUGCUCCGGAGCUUCUCUUUAACUUUAAUAUUUCUCUUUAACUUGACGUCUUAUGUGCAGAUUUCAAUAUACUGGGGUGUGAUCUACGGAUCAUGCUACCAUACUAAUGAAUAUCACAUAGAGGUUCUGAACCACAAACUGGCUACUGUUAAAUGGCUGACAGAGUGAUUGUAUAUGUAUACCAUGGAUAACUGUAUAUUUAAUGGAAACAUAUGUCUACAUUGCGGCCAGCGUACCUUUGAUUUCGUUUUAUCACAAAUGCAAAAAUUCAAUAAACACAGAUUUACAACAACUACAAAAAGAAUUUAAUAGUGACUACUCUACCAUCUUUUCUGAUACUGAUUGAAACAUUUUAAAUGUAGUCAGGUGUAAGCAGUAAUGUACAAAGGCCACCACACACAUCACACAACGGGCAACAUCUUAUGGCUUCAGAAGUCCACCAAAAAUAUCCAUUAAACAGUCAUCAUAUUAGUGUCCACCAAAAAUAUCCAUUAAACAGUCAUCAUAUUAGUGACAUCACACUCUAAGAGCCUGUUUGCACUCCAUGCUGGUAGAACUUUGUAUCCGAUUCCCUUUCUUUAUGAUUCGUGUGACGUCAUGUUAAAGAGAAAAAUGUGUUGAAUAUGAGAAGUGAAAAGAGAGUGUUAUCACUGACACACACCAUGGAAAUGAAGCUCCAGGCAGUCAAUUUGAAACAAAGAAAAGACACCAUACAUUGCAUUAAGCAUUUUCCCUUAUAUAAGACAGCAUUAACUGCCACCAUUCCACAUUCAGUAUCAAAUAUCUUUGGAUUUUUUUCUACUGUGCAAAAAAUGUCAACAAAUGUUUAAAUGCAUAAUAUGUAACCAGACUGCCUGCGUUUGGCACAUUAACACAUGAGCCCUGCGCGCGACACCAGGCAACGCAUGAGCCCCGUGGGCGACACCAGGCAACGCAUGAGCCCCGUGGGCGACACCAGGCAACGCAUGAGCCCUGUGCCCGUCACUAGACAACUCAUGAGCCCAGCGCGCGUCACCAGGCCACACAUGAGGCCUGCACGCAUCACCAGGCAAAAAAUGAGGCCCACGCGCAUCAUCAGGCAAAAAAUGAACCCCGCGCGCGUCAUCAGGCAAAACAUGAGCCCCUCGCGCGUCACCAGGCAAAACAUGAGCCGUGAGCGUCACCAGGCAAAACAUAAGCCGCGCGAGUCACAAGGCAAAAAAAUGAGCCCCCGCGAGCUGGUGCCUGGUGACGUGUGGCGGGGCUCAUUUAUUGCCUUGUGACGCGAGCGGCUUAUGUUUUGCCUGGUGAUGCUCGCGGCUCAUGUUUUGCCUGGUGACGCGCGCAGGGCUCAUGUGUUGCCUGGUGAGGCACGCGGGGCUCAUUUGUUGCCUGGUGACGCGUGCGGGGCUCAUGUGCUGAGUGGUGAUGCGCGCGGGGCUCAGGUGUUGACUGGUGAUGUGCAUGGGGUUCAUGGGUUGCCUGGUGACGGCGGGGCUCAUGUGUUGCGAGGUGACGGGCGCGGGGCUCAUGUGUUGCGUGGUGACGCGAGCGGGGCUUAAUGUGUUGCCUGGUGAUGCGCGCGGGACUCAUGUUUUGCGAGGUGAUGCGCAUGGGGCUCUUUUGUUGCAUGGUGACGUGCGUGGGGCUUAAUGUGUUGCAUGGUGACGUGCGCGUGGCUUAAUGUGUUGUAUGGUGACGCGCGCAGGGCUCAUGUGUUGCGUGGUGACGGGCGCGGGACUCAUGUGUUGCAUGGUGACGGCUGCUGGGCUAAUGUGUUGCCUGGUGAUGCGCGCGGCUCAUGUGUUGCCUGGUGACGCGCGGGGCUCAUGUCGCAUUGUGAUGCGCGCUGGGCUCAUGUGUUGCCUGGUGACGCGCGGGGCUCAUGUGUCGCCUGAUGAUGCGCGAGGGGCUCAUGUGUUUCCUGGUGACGUGCACUGGGCUCAUGUGUUGCGUGGUGUUACUCACGGGGCUCAUGUGUUGUUUGGUGAUGCGCGCGAGGCUCAUUUAUUGCCUGGUGACGCGCGCGGCUCAUGUUUUGCCUGGUGACGCGAGGGGCUCAUGUGUUGCCAGGUGAUGUGCGUGGGGCUCAUGUGUUGCCUGGUGAUGCGCAGAGCUCAUGUGUUGCGAGGUGAUGCGCACGGGGCUCAUUUGUUUCCUGGUGACGCGUGCGUCUCAUGUUUUGCCUGGUGACGGCUGCUGGGCUAAUGUGUUGCCUGGUGACGCGCGCGGCUCAUGUGUUGCCUGGUGAGGCGCGCUGGGCUCAUGUGUUGCCUAGUGACGCGCGGGGCUCAUGUCGCAUUGUGAUGCGCGCUGGGCUCAUGUGUUGCCUGGUGACGCGCGGGGCUCAUGUGUCGCCUGAUGAUGCGCGAGGGGCUCAUGUGUUUCCUGGUGACGUGCACUGGGCUCAUGUGUUGCGUGGUGUCACUCACGGGGCUCAUGUNNNNNNNNNNNNNNNNNNNNNNNNNNNNNNNNNNNNNNNNNNNNNNNNNNNNNNNNNNNNNNNNNNNNNNNNNNNNNNNNNNNNNNNNNNNNNNNNNNNNUCAUGUGUUGCCUGGUGACGUGCGCGGGGCUCAUGUGUUGCCUGGUGACGGGCCCUGGGCUAAUGUCUUGCCUGGUGAUGCGCGCGGCUCAUGUGUUGCCUGGUGACGCGCGCGGCUCAUAUUUUGCCUGGUGACGGGAGCUGGGCUAAUGUGUUGCGAAGUGACAGGCCCUGGGCUAAUGUCUUGCCUGGUGAUGCGCGCGGCUUAUAUGUUGCCUGGUGACGGACGCAGGGCUCAUGUGUUGCCUGGUGACGGGCACGGGACUCAUGUGUUUCCUGGUGACACGCACUGGGUUCAUGUGUUGCCUGGUGACGUGCGCGGGGCUCAUGUGUUGCCUGGUGACGGGCCCUGGGCUAAUGUCUUGCCUGGUGAUGCGCGCGGCUCAUGUGUUGCCUGGUGACGCGCGCGGCUCAUAUUUUGCCUGGUGACGGGAGCUGGGCUAAUGUGUUGCGAAGUGACAGGCCCUGGGCUAAUGUCUUGCCUGGUGAUGCGCGCGGCUUAUAUGUUGCCUGGUGACGGACGCAGGGCUCAUGUGUUGCCUGGUGACGGGCACGGGACUCAUGUGUUUCCUGGUGACACGCACUGGGUUCAUGUGUUGCCUGGUGACGUGCGCGGGGCUCAUGUGUUGCCUGGUGACGGGCCCUGGGCUAAUGUCUUGCCUGGUGACGCGCGCGGCUCAUGUGUUGCCUGGUGACGCGCGCGGCUCAUAUUUUGCCUGGUGACGGGCGCUGGGCUAAUGUGUUGCCUGGUGACGCGUGCGGGGUUCAUGUUUUGCGAGGUGUCACACGUGGGGCUCAUUUGUUGCCUGGUGACGCGUGCGGCUCAUAUUUUGUCUGGUGACACGGAUGGAGCUCCGGUGUUGCCUGGUGAUGGGCGCGGGGCUCUUGUGUGUCCUGGUGAUGCACGCGGGGCUCAUAUGUUGCCUUGUGAUGCGCACUGGGCUAAUGUGUUGCCUGGUGAUGUGCGCGGCUCAUGUGUUGCCUUGUGAUGGGCGCGGGGCUCAUGUGUUGCCUUGUGAUGGGCGCGGUGCUCAUUUGUUGCCUGGUGACGGGCCCUGGGCUAAUGUUCUGCCUGGUGACGCGCGGCUCAUGUGUUGCCCGGCGACGCGUGCGGGGCUCAUGUGUUUCCUGGUGACAGGCCAUGGGCUAAUGUCUUGCCUGGUGACGCGCGCGGCUCAUCUGUUGGCUCAUGUGUUGCUCAUGUCUUGCCUGAUGACGCGCGGCUCAUCUGUUGGCUCAUGUGUUGCUCAUGUCUUGCCUGAUGACGCGCGCGGCUCAUGUGUUGCCUGGUGACGGGCGCUGGGCUAAUGUGUUGCCUGGUGACGGGUGCGGGGUUCAUGUGUUGCGAGGUGUCACACGUGGGGCUCAUUUGUUGCCUGGUGAUGCGUGCGGCUCAUAUUUUGUCUGGUGACACGGAUGGAGCUCAGGUGUUGCCUGGUGAUGGGCGCGGGGCUCUUGUGUGUCCUGGUGAUGCACGCGGGGCUCAUAUGUUGCCUUGUGACCCGCGCUGGGCUAAUGUGUUGCCUGGUGAUGUGCGCGGCUCAUUUGUUGCCUUGUAAUGGGCGCAGGGCUCAUGUGUUGCCUUGUGAUGGGCGCGGGGCUCAUUUGUUGCCUGGUGACGGGCCCUGGGCUAAUGUUCUGCCUGGUGAAGCGCGGCUCAUGUGUUGCCCGGCGACGCGUGCGGGGCUCAUGUGUUUCCUGGUGACAGGCCCUGGGCUAAUGUCUUGCCUGGUGACGCGCGCAGCUCAUCUGUUGGCUUAUGUGUUGCUCAUGUGUUGCCUGGUGACGCGCGCGGGGCUCAUGUGUUUCCUGGUGAGUGCACUGAGCUCAUGUGUUGCCUGGUGUCACGCGCGGGGCUCAUGUGUUGCCUGGUGACGCGUGCGAGGCUCAUUUGUUGCCUGGUGACGCGCGCGGCUCAUGUUUUGCAUGGUGACGCGAGCAGAGCUCAUAUGUUGCCAGGUGACGUGCGCGGGACUCAUGUGUUCUGUGGUGACGGGCGCGGGGCUCAUGUGUUGCGAGAUGACACGUACGAGGCUCAUUUGUUGCCUGGUGAUGCGUGCGGGGCUCAUGUGUUGCCUGGUGACAGGCCCUGGGCUAAUGUCUUGCCUGGUGACGCGCACGGCUCAUGUGUUGCCCGGAGAUGCCUAUGGGGCUCAUGUGUUGUGAGAUGACGCACGCGGGGCUCAUUUGUUGCCUGGUGAUGCGUGCGGCUCAUAUUUUGCCUGGUGACGGGCGCUGGGCUAAUGGGUUGCCUGGUGACGCGCGCGGCUCAUGUGUUGCCUUGUGAUGGGCGCGGGGCUCAUGUGUUGCCUUGUGAUGGGCGCGGGGCUCAUUUGUUGCCUGGUGACGGGCCCUGGGCUAAUGUUCUGCCUGGUGACGCGCGCGGCUCAUGUGUUGCCCAGCGACGCGUGCGGGGCUCAUGUGUCUCCUGAUGACGCGCACUGGGCUCAUAUGUUGCCUGGUGUCACGUGCGGGGCUCAUUUGUUGCCUGGUGACACGCGCAGGGCUCAUGUGUUGCCUGGUGACAGGCCCUGGGCUAAUGUCUUGCCUGGUGACGCGCGCGGCUCAUCUGUUGGCUCAUGUGUUGCUCAUGUGUUGCUCAUGUGUUGCCUGGUGACGCGCGCGGGGCUCAUGUGUUGCCUGCUGACAUUCACGGGACUCAUGUAUUUCCUGGUGACGCAGGGGGCUCAUGUGUUGCGAGAUGACGCGCGCAGGGCUCAUUUGUUGCCAGGUGACGUGCGCGGGACUCAUGUGUUGUGUGGUGACGGGCGCGGGGCUCAUGUUUUGCAAGGUGACACGUACAGGGCUCAUUUGUUGCCUGGUGACGCGGGCAGGGCUCAUGUGUUGCCCGGCGACGCCUAUGGGGCUCAUGCGUUGCCUGGCUCAUGUGUUCCCUGGGAGAGACACACUCACAGUCUGAGUCCAAAGGCAAAAGUUCCAGAAAGAUUUAGCUUCAGACAUUACUUUUGUCCAAAAUGAGCUAUUAUCAUACUUUUAUUGUAAUGCACCAACACAUUCUGCCAUGCUGCUCAUGGUUACAAUUGGUACAAGUAAAAAGACAAAGGUACAAUACAUCUAACAGACAAAAUAAAAUUUGACAAACAAAUGUAAGAGGAGUUGAGGAUCCUAUUUCUAUGGGAAUGAGCAAUCUAGAUCGAUCUUCAGUUUCACCACAUUAAAAUAUAACUUGAAUUUAGAGUUGUGUUUCUUGCAUAAUAUGUAACCAGACUGCCUGUGUUUGGCACAUUAACACAGUGAUCGCUGCAUCUCCCUUGAAACAACCAUCAGCUGAAAACUUUUGGAAGUGGGUUCCAACUCGCCCUGCAGUUCAUUAUAAGCAACGGCUCCUGUGUGGUCAAUGUCUCCAGCAAUGAGGACUGUACAGCACUCUCUCACUGUCGAAAACAUUCAGAGACGAUCUGCACAGCAGCUCUGUAACUACAGCUUCACUCAUCCAUGGCUGUAUAAUAAUCCUCGCACUUAGCCAGGGCUGUAUAACAGGAUACCCACUAAGAGCUGUGCUCACAGCCCCAUCAUAUGAUAAAAAUGUCCUGUUUGUAGUCUUUUCCUGGUGUCCUUUACAUUGGAUCUUCCCCUGGUCACAAUCUGUGUUCACUGUGUUCUCUCUCACGUCUCUGCUGGUGAAUGUUUAAUGUCUGAGCUUUCAGUCUAGUGUGAGAGUUGAUGCUGGCAGGGACUUCCCCUAAACCUCGCCUCUCCUGAAAGCAAGCAAGCAUAGCAGUCACAUAAUAACAGUAUAAAUCUGCUCCGGAGCUUCAUUCCCAUGAUGUGUGUUAGUGAUAACACUUUCUUUUCACUUCUCUUUAACUUUAAUAUUUCUCUUUAACUUGACGUCUUAUGUGCAGAUUUCAAUAUACUGGGGUGUGAUCUAUGGAUCAUGCUACCAUACUAAUGAAUAUCACAUAGAGGUUCAGUCACCAGGCAACAUAUGAGAACCGCGCACGUCACCAGGCAACACAUGAGCCACUGCGUGCUGGUGCCUGGUGAUGUGCGGCGGGGCUCAUUUGUUACCUUGUGACGAGCGCGGCGCAUGUUUUGCCUGGUGACGUGCGCGGGGCUCAUUUUUUGCCUAAUGAUGCGCGGGGGCCUUGUGUGGCCUGGUGACAGGCGCGGGGCUCAUGCGUUGCCUGGUGUCGCGCGCGGGGCUCAUGCCUUGCCUGGUGACGCACGCGGGGCUCAUUUGUUGCCUGGUGACGCGUGCGGGGCUCAUGUGCUGCGUGGUGACGCACGUGGGGCUCAGGUGUUGACUGGUGACGCGCACGGGGCUUUUGAGAUGACUGGUGACGUGCGGGGCUCAUGUGUUGCGAGGUGAUGCGCGCGGGGCUCAUGCGUUGCCUGGUGUCGCACGCGGUGCUCAUGCGUUGCCUGGUGUCACGCGCGGGGCUCAGGUGCUGCGUGGUGACACGCACGGGGCUCAAGUGUUGCCUGGUGACGCGCGGAGCUCAUGUGUUGCAAAGUGACGCGCACGGGGAUCAUUUGUUGCCUGCCCAGCGCGCGUCACCAGGCCACACAUGAGGCCUGCGUGCAUCACCAGGCAAAAAAUAAGCCCCGCGCGCGUCACAAGGCAACAAAUGAGCCCUGCGCCUGUCACCAGGCAACACAUGAGCCCCGCGCACGUCACCAGGCAACACAUGAGCCCCGCGCACGUCACCAGGCAACACAUGAGCCCCUCGCGCAUUACCAGAUGACAUAUGAGCCCCGCGCGCUUCACCAGGCAACAAAUGAGCCCCCGCGAGCUGGUGCCUGGUGACGUGUGGCGGGGCUCAUUUGUUGCCUUGUGACGCGCGCGGCUUAUGUUUUGCUUGGUGACGCUCGCGGCCCAUGUUUUGCCUGGUGAUGCUCGCGGGGCUAAUGUUUUGCCUGAUGACGCGCGCGGGGCUCAUUUUUUGCCUGAUGAUGCGCGCGGGCCUCAUUUUUUGCCUGGUGAUGCGCGCAGGCCUCAUGUGUGGCCUUGUGACACGCGCUGGGCUCAUGAGUUGCCUAGUGACGGGCACGGGGCUCAUGUGCUGUGUGGUGACACGCGCGGGGCUCAUGUGUUGCCUGGUGACGCGUGGGGCUCAUGUGUUGCCUGGUGACGCGUGGGGCUCAUGUGUUGCGAGGUGACGCGCGCGGGGCUCAUUUGUUGCCUGGUGACGUACACGGCUCAUAUUUUGCCUGGUGACGGGCGCUGGGCUAAUGUGUUGCCUGGUGUCACGCGAGGGGCUCAUGUGUUGCCUGGUGAUGCGCCCCAUGGGCUCAUGUGUUGCCUGGUGACGGGCACUGGGCUAAUGUGUUGCCUGAUGACACACGCGGCUCAUGUGUUGCCUUGUGAUGGGCGUUGCGCUCAUGUGUUGCAAGGUGACACGCGCAGGGCUCAUUCGUGGUGACACACACGGGGCUCAAGUGUUGCCUGGUGACGCGCGGGGCUCAUGUGUUGCAAAAAGACGCGCACGGGGCUCAUUUGUUGCCUGCCCAGCGCGGGUCACCAGGCCACACAUGAGGCCUGCGUGCAUCACCAGGCAAAAAUGUGUUGCCUUGUGAAGGGCGCGGGGCUCAUGUGUUGCGAGGUGACGCACGUGGGGCUCAUUUGUUGCCUGGUGACGCGCGUGGGGCUCAUGUGUUGCAUGGUGACGGGCCCUGGGCUAAUGUCUUGCCUGGUGAUGCGCGCAGGCCUCAUGUGGGGCCUGGUGACGCGCGCUUGGCUCAUGUGUUGCCUGGUGUCGCGCGCGGGGCUGAUGUGUUGCCUGGUGACGCGCGCGGCUCAUGUCCUGCCUGGUGACGCGCCCCAUGGGCUCAUGUGUUGCCUGGUGAUGGGCACUGGGCUAAUGUCUUGCCUGGUGACGCGCGCGGCUCAAGUGUUGCCAGGUGACGUGAGCGGGGCUCAUGUGUUGCGUGGUGACGCGCGCAGGGCUUAAUGUGUUGUCUGGUGACGCGCACGGGGCUCAUGUGUUGCGAGGUGAUGUGCACGGGGCUCAUGUGUUGCGAGGUGAUGCGCACGGGGCUCAUUUGUUGCAUGGUGACGUGCGCGGGGCUUAAUGUGUUGCCUGGUGACGCGCGCGGGGCUCAUGUGUUGCCUGGUGAUGCGCCACAUGGGCUCAUGUGUUGCCUGGUGACGGGCACUGGGCUAAUGUGUUGCCUGAUGACACACGCGGCUCAGGUGUUGACAUUACUUUUGUCCAAGAUGAGCUAUUAUCAUACUUUUAUUGUAAUGCACCAACACAUUCUGCCAUGCUGCUCAUGGUUACAAUUGGUACAAGUAAAAAGACAAAGGUACAAUACAUCUAACAGACAAAAUAAAAUUUGACAAACAAAUAAGAGGAGUUGAGGAUCCUAUUUCUAUGGGAACGAACAAUCUAGAUGGAUCUUCAGUUUCACCACAUUAAAAUAUAACUUGAAUUUAGAGUUGUGUUUCUUGCAUAAUAUGUAACCAGACUGCCUGCGUUUGGCACAUUAAGACAGUGAUCGCUGCAUCUCCCUCGAAACAACCAUCAGCUGAAAACUUUUGGAAGUGGGUUCCAACUCGCCCUGCAGUUCAUUAUAAGCAACGGCUCCUGUGUGGUCAAUGUCUCCAGCAAUGAGGACUGUACAGCACUGUCUCACUGUCGAAAACAUUCAGAGACGAUCUGCACAGCAGCUCUGUAACUACAGCUUCACUCAUCCAUGGCUGUAUAAUAAUCCUCGCACUUAGCCAGGGCUGUAUAAUAGGAUACCCACUAAGAGCUGUGCUCACAGCCCCAUCAUAUGAUAAAAAUGUCCUGUUUGUAAUUUUUUCCUGGUGUCCUUUACAUUGGAUCUUCCCCUGGUCACAAUCUGUGUUCACUGUGUUCUCUCUCACGUCUCUGCUGGUGAAUGUUUAAUGUCUGAGCUUUCAGUCUAGUGUGAGAAUUGAUACUGGCAGGGACUUCCCACUAAGCCUCGCCUCGUACUACCUGAAAGCAAGCAAGCAUAGCAGUCACAUAAUAACAGUACAAACAACAAUAUAUUCUGCGAGCAAAAACAAUAUCUUGAACAAAGUUGAAUAUACUCUUCACAGAAUAAAAGUAUAUAAAGUAAUUGUGUAGAUAUUCCACACAGAACAAAUCCAAAGUUAAACCCUGGUUAUAAAUACUUGCGACGAUGGACCCCAACUUAGAACAGACCUCCUGCCGAAUAAUAAGAUCCUUCGAAAAUGUGUCUAAAAAUGAAAUUUUUGUUUCUAAUUUUGCUGAACUUUUCUUCGGGUAUAUUUUUGCCAAACUGCAAACAGCUCAGUCCGACACAGGAGACUAAGAUAGGAAAUCUGCUCCAGAGCUUCAUUCCCAUGGUGUGUGUUCGGGAUAACACUCUCUUUUCACUUCUUGAAUUUAGAAAUUUUGAUUUAUUUUUUUCACGUUCACUAACUAAUCUGUUUUUAUUUCUAGAGAUCUGAUGAAGAUGUUUUUGAAGUUUGUCCAUUUGACCUCGAGCUACCAAACCUUCCCAAUAUCUUCAACAUCUUAGUAACAUCUAAGGAAUCUCAGGUAGUCCAUUAUUAAUCAUGAAGAACCAUAUUGUGACCCUGCUGUAUUGACCUGUCU